ncrna:unclassified sequences type-P1 twister ribozyme
UCCUUAAUGCAGCCUUCCGCCAGGAAGCCGGUCACAAGCCCGGAGGAAUGCAGAGUGAGGA